GAUAUCUGUGGGGGCGAAACAGGAUCGACAGACGUGUAAAGGCUGACCUUUCGCCCGGUAUGGUAUCCGCCGUUAUCGGGCUAAUCGUAACAGGUGCCAACGAUAAUGAAAUGGCCCUCGCUGCCUAAUAGGUAAGCGCGGUUGGAGGGGUACCGGGCAACAGAAACCCCUCGCU
rnacentral:tmRNA from 1 species